rnacentral:rRNA from 1 species
GUCUACAGCCAUGCCACCCUGAACAAGCCCGAUCCCAUCUGAUCUCGGAAGCUAAACAGGGUCAGGCCUGGUUAGUACUUGGAUAAGAGACCACCUACGAAUAUCAGGUGCUAUAGGCA